CUUAGUCAGAGCGAGAAAAAGGAAGUGGCGGGCGCCCGCUGUCUCUCUCGGGGGCCCCGCGCGGAGAGAGACUCACUGACACAUCACCCGGGACUACCGGUGGGGUGUCAGGAACGCCACCAGGGCGAGGUGACCCACGCCAUGCGGGAAGAGGAGGAAGCAAAUUCGGUUAGAACCUGACCGGGGCCGCGCCGUGGAGCCCCUUGGGCCUCCGGGUGAAUCCCGGAUUCCGGUCGCUCGCUGUUGUGUCUGAACUUGUAAGGAGAUAGCAUCUGAGAUGAGCCGAGAUGCGGCGUGGCUUGGUCAUCUUGAUGCUGGAGGCUUCUAACAUGCUACCCCCGCUUUUGCUAUCUUUUAAUUUUCCGUGAUAAAAGUUCCUGAGAGUAAAAAGGAGGAGUUGUGAAUGGGUGAGACAGAGACUUCAAGUGGAUUCUGCCUCGGAUGGAUUGACGGCCCCCUUUUGUCUCUCUCCAAAGAUAGGGACAGUAUACCACCAGAGCUUCAUAGUGAAUGCUGCCUCAGAGCAAAACACACACACACACACACACACACACACACACACACACACACACACACACACACACACAGGAGCAAUGCACUGACUCCGGGACUCUGUGGUUCUGGGAAGCCUGUGGGCAACUGUGAGGCUCAGUCCAGUAAACUGUUGUCCAGGUGGCUUCUGGAUUUGUGGGAUUAUGGUGGAUAAAGUGUAAUCCCAGGCUGUCUGCCCCCACCAUUCUCUCUGGAGCUUCGUGCUGCCCGCCCCCAUUCCCGGAUUCGUCUGCUCUGCGAGUAUUUAUUGAGGGCUCUGCUAGCUGUCAGGGCACGUGGGAUGCAAAUGCAUUGCUGCCUCCAAGCCCUUUGCCAACUAUUUCACUGUUAUCUCUUCAUGAAGAAAACCCUUGCAUCCAUUUACAACUCUACAGGGGAUGAGACCUUUAGGAGAAAGCAGAAAUCUAAUUUCUGAGAUCAAAUCAAUCAUUCCCAACAGCAGUAAUGGCUGGCAUUGCUUCUGGGUCAUUUCUUCAUUCAAGCAGUCAAUUCAAUCAUUAUAGACUCUGUAAUUCUAGCAUUUUCAACAUUUUCGAGACUGAGUGGGAAAAAAAGCAUCACAAAACUGAGGCCAAUCUAAGCAAUAUAGAUCCUGUCUUAAAAAAAAAACCAAGCCAUGCAAAGAUGUUGCUAGCAGUCUCCACCCUCGCCAGUUUCAUUCUGGGGCCUCACAGAUAAUGCUUAGCACCCACAGGGGCCAGUCUUGUGUUAGGUGCUUGGUGACACCACUGUAAGCAGGACUCUACUCCAUCAGCCCAGGGAGGAGGCCUGAUCCAGUCUGGGGCCUCUCUAAGUGUCUGUGUCUGCACACCCAUGGUGUGUGGGCUGCGGUGGAAGUGGAGGCUAGAGAAAGUUUCUCGGCGAGAGCUGAGACAAACUUCCAAGAAUGGGUAGAAACCACUUGCUGUGAAGGAAACAAACAACCCAGUCUGUUCAGUACCGGAGGUGUUUGAAAGACUCCUGCUCAGUAGAGAGAAAUGAAGACGUCCGUAAAUCCACGGUUUUGUUCGAACGAAUGUUAAUGUUACUUACUUUGUUUGCUUGUACGUUGGGGUGCCUGUGUGGAGGUUGGAGGACAGCUUACAAGGGACCCUUUCUUGCCUUCCACCAUGCGGGACCUGGAGAUCAAACUCAGGUUCUGAGCCUUCAGCCACCAUCCCCACCGCCCAUGGAAACAUAUUUUUGGGUGGAGUUUUCUUCCUAGAGAGCUUGCAGGCUGCCUGAAAUCAUCAUGGAGGCCAGGUCAGAUUGGAAUGGUACCACAUAGGUACACAGCCUAGCACCCUGAGACCCUCACUUAGGACCAGACUUCCCUGAUCUACACAGCAGAGAUCGCUCAACUGGAAGUUCAGUUCUCGGUGGCUCACAGUAAGGCCCUAGAGUCGCACAGCGGUCAAUCUGGACUGCCCUCCUUCAAGAAGCAUGAAUUAUAUAGCUGGAAGGUACAACAAAGGAAAUAUCCUGUCACCUUGCCCCACGAGGCCCAUUGUCUCCAAUUGCAUAUGCUACUCUAUACUGCCCAGCCGUUUGCCUCUUCCCACAGUAGCCAAAGAAAACUUGUCCCAUUCUUAAAGACUAAAGAGGACUUAAGACGUUUGGAUCUUAGGCACUGGGUCAUAGUGACUGGACUGCGGUAUGGGGUCAUCAGUGAAGAGGGUCUGUGGAGGAUGGAGGAUUUAUCUGAGAGUGGGGGUGGGAUCCAGACUGAGGUCAGGGAGAGGGACAGUGGGUUUGUGUAGCUAAUACAGCCUGAGCUGGUAAAGACUUGCUUGAACUUGGCAGUCAGUGGUCAUAGCUGAGAAAACGCCACACGAAUGGGAGGAGAUUUAGAAAGUAAAGGUCCAAGGGGAUGUGGUGGAGACACAGGGGUGUGGUGGACACACAGGGGUGUGAUGGACACACAGGGGUGUGAUGGACACACAGGGGUGUGAUGGACACACAGGGGUGUGAUGGACACAGGGACGGGAUGGAGACACGAGUGUGAUGGAGACACAAGGAUGUGAUGGACACAGGGAUGUGAUGGAUACACAGGGGUGUGAUGGACACAGGGGUGUGAUGGACACACAGGGAUGUGGUGGAGACACAGGGAUGUGGUGGAGACACAGGGUUGUGAUGAACACAGAGGGAUGUGGUGGAGACACAGGGUUGUGAUGGAGACACAAGGGGAGCAGGACCUCAUGGGAGGUGACAUCAAAGUUGUUAAUCAAUGCCUGAGUGAAUGGUAGUGCUACGACAGACCCUAUAGCAACAGAGUUAGGGACUGAAGGGAAGGAGGGAGAUGAGGUGUAGACACACUAUCAAGUUAGAGCUUGUGGUAGCUUCUUUGAAGGGCAUCCGGUAAACAGUAGGGUAGCCCAGGAACCAAGGCACAAAGGUCUUGCAAAGCAAGGCACAAAGGUACAUUGUUUCUUGUCUUCCCAGGGCCCAAGGCUGCUGUGUCGGUCUGUCUUCUGACUUUCACUCUUCAUCAUGGAACAAGGGCUGGCUUCGCCAGCAUAGCUUGUUGCUCCAUACAGCCUUGUAUUUGGAAGCACGCUCCAGAGUUUCAAUCCUACGCGCUCGUCUGGAAACGGUUAAGACCCUGAACUUUUAAUUUGCAGUCUGGUCCCAUCCAUCAUGUAGCCGAUGCUGCUCACAGCUGGAAUGAAAGAGAUCUGCUGCCCUUCCCAGACCCCACAAGACUAGCAUUUCGUGUUCCCGUUUCCAAGUCUUAUGGAUUCCUUAUCCUCUGCGGCCUAGUUUUAAGAAUGAAUUUGAACAGAGGGCCUGCCUGCUUGUCUCAAAAACCUCUGAUGGCCUGCAGAUAAAAAAAAAAAAAAUCCAAAUUCCACUGGGCAUGGUGGUACACACCUUUAAUCCCAGUACUCGGGGAGUGGCAGACAGGUCUCUGUGAGUUUGGGAGGAAUCUGGGCUAUAGAGGGAAUUCCAGGCCAGUCAGAGCUUCAAAGGGAGAACCUGCCUCCAACAAGUAACAGAUCCAGUGCCAUCUGACCGCCUUUCUCCUGUCCCCGAGUAAGAAUCCGUCACCUCUGCACAGCUCCAACCGCUGCAGCGCCUUUAAGAGAACAUAGCUCAGCUCGCCCGCUUCCCCAGAUUCUUACGGCUCCUGCCACAGAGCCUAUCUGAUGCCUCCCUCACAGAGUGCCUGUCAGUCAGGGCUUGCUGAGAGAUAUGAAGCAGCUGGCCCUAAGGCACUCAGAGAGCAAGCAACAAAAACCAAAGCCGGAGACAUCGGGAAGGAGGAAAGAUGGAGGAUCCGUAGCCCACACUCACAGGUCUCAGCCGAAGGAGAGGACAGGUCUAGUGGCAUAAAAACCAAGACCGUCCCCCGCUGCACUGAAAUGUGACGGUGUACUGAAGGCAAAAGAGUUUACUAUGAUGUGUCCACGAGGCCGGAUCCUGUCCCCUUUGUUAUUUUCUUCCCUGAGCCAGCUGUCUUCAGAGUGAGCUCCUAUUUUCUGAGGGUUUCCGGCCUUUGUUGGAGCCUCGUUCUGUGUACCUCAGUGUCCUGGACUUGGAAGGCCUUUGACAACGUCGUGGGUCUCUCUUUAGAAAACAGCUCACAUCCCUAGGUGGGCCUGGCAGAUGGUGGAAAUGGUUUAAAAGGUACGGCUUCUUCACACCGGCAGAUCCGGACCUGACGCUUGACUUCAGUGUUAGAAGGAACAGGAAUUGCACUAAGAACCAAAGAUCUGGAUUGCUCUCGGAUUUUAUGUAUGUGAGUAUGCUGUCUUCAGACACACGAGAAGAGGACAUCAGAUGCCCAUUACAGAUGGUUGUGAGCCACCAUGUAGUUGCUGGGAAUUGAACUCAGGACCUCUGGAAGGUAUUUUAUAUCAUGGGAUAAACAAAACUUUUCUCUGCUGGGGAAAAAUUUACCUCCAUGCAACAGCCCUUACCAUUCCCCUCAGAGCAUUCCUACAGGGAAACUCACCGGGGCAGAUCUGGAGGUUUCUCUCUUUGAGGGAAAUUAUAGAUUAGAUCUCCCCUUCCCAGCCUUACCAGCCACCCCUCGACAAAUAUUAGAUGUGGUUCUGGUGUGUGUGUGUGUGUAUGUGUGUGUGUGUGUGUGUGUGUGUGUGUGUGUGUGUGUGUGCGCACUCUAGGGCACAUGCAUGUGUGUCUAUGGUCACACCAGGCAUCAGACAACCUUGUGCGUGGUAGACACACUACCCCUAAGCUACAUUUCCAGCCCUUUUAUUCCCCUUCCUGCCUCAACAUUUUGAACACAAGUCUUUAACGUUCACUGAAUUGACGGCUCUCCUCUUACAGUGUAGACUGAAGCUCUGGCUGUUGAUGCUAAGAGGGAGAGAUCCGAUGGAGAGUCUAGGCGUUCCACCCUUAAAGCCCUGAUACUGCAUCCUCAGCCCAAGCUGGCUGAAACGCCUGGCAAUCCUCCCCAGCCUCCCCAGUGCUGGGAUUUCUGGUUUGUACCUUUGUGCUUGGCCAAGCAGCUUGAUUCUUUGGACAAAUCCUCUUCAGAAAGACAGUUACUCUGCUGCCCAUGGGGCACCAGGAUGCACUUGUGAUUCAACUCCAUUCUCUUCCACUCUCCCUGGAGGUGUUUCAAAAGCAAAUGUCAUUCGAAAAUCUGGGAACCUCAGCCAAUUCCUUACACCUGCUGUGUGGCCUGCAGCCAGCUCUGUUGGGGGCCCUGUGAGGCUGUUUCAGUUAUGUGAAGGAAAAGGGCUGGAGUUAUAAGGUUUGAGACAAUUUAGGCCUUUGGCUACCAUUCCUUAGACCCUGUAAAGAAUGCAUUGUCCCGCCCUUCAUUGGCUGUGUGAUCUUGGGCAAAGUCAGUUCCUCAUCUAUAAGUAGGGGUCAUGGAGACGGUCACCUGAUACGGUUGUGUGUGGGGAGUUCAGCAGCCAGCACAUGUGGAGAACAAACAAUGAGUUGUAGGUCCGAUUCACCAGGAUCCUAGGAAGGGAGGAGGCCUUCCUGCUUCUCCCCUGAGAGCUUUGCUUGAGAACCUGCAGUCCAGGAUGGAAAACCUAUUUGUUUCUCAGCCGAUGAGACGGUUGCUUGAAGCCACCUAAGCCAAAUCGACCAGAAGCAAACACUUUCCAGUUGCAGCUCCAAAUCAAACCUGUCCUGCUGCUCUUCGGGCCAGCACACCGUGUCCCAUCUGUGUCCGGUCUUCUUUCACUUUUAUCUCCAUCAGAUCUCUUCCUCUUAGCAUCAGCGGCCACAGUGUCAGCCUGUGCUGUAAGAGGAGAGACGUCAACUCAGUGAACUUUAAAGACUUGCGUUCAAAAUGCGUAAUUAGACGUUGAAAACUGGUUGUCGGGGUAGCGGCCUACACCUGUGUGGAGGGUUGAGGCAGGAAGAUCACCUGGAGUUCAAGGCUAGCUGAGUUUAUUGAAAGUUUAUCUUUUUUUUUUUUUUUUUUUUGGUUCUUUUUUUCGGAGCUAGGGACCGAACCCAGGGCCUUGCGCUUCCUAGGUAAGCACUCUACCACUGAGCUAAAUCCCCAGCCCCGAAAGUUUAUCUUAAAAACAAUAAUGAGGGGCUGGAGAGACGGCUCACUGGGUAAGAGCAUUGGUGGCUCUUUGGAGGACCCAGGUUCAAUUCCCAGUACCUACCCGGCAGCUCACAGCUACCUGUAACUCCAGUUUCAGGGAAUCUGAUGCCUCUGGCCUCUGAGGGCAUCUGUACUCAUGUGUUCAGACCACUAUUCAUGCACAUACACAUAAUUAAAAUAAAAGUUCAUCUUUAACAGCAACAACAACAACAACAACAACAAAAAAGAAACUUAAAACUCUAUUGCAUUCUUGAAAAAGAAAAACAGCUAGGAGAUAAAUUUUUCCCCCAGCAGAUAUGUUUUGUUUAUCCCAUGAUAUAAAAAUACCUGUAACGAGAAAGAUAAGGGAAGAAGACAGAAGUUCUGCCACAGGCGGCUGAGCCAUGGAGAGCAAACUCGUUUGGGAAGUCCAGCAGAUUGACUCAACUCCCCCUGUUGGUUCCUGCUGGGUGUUGGGAGUACCCAAGCCGAUGAUGUCAUCUCUAUGCACCCUUUCCACUCAUACUCGGAGACCUCACCAGUGGACAAUUCCCUCUGCCCUGUAGGGGAUUCCUGCAGGCAACCUUAUAGAGGCUUUCCCAUUCGACUUCUGCUGGGUGUUUGGAGGGUCCGCUUUGAUGAUGUUUUGCUGUCCAUCCAUCCAUCCAUCCAUCCCUUGCUCUUUACUCUUUACUUUGGCUUGUUGUGUACUUAAUAAAUUCACACAUUCCUGACCUACAGUAUAACUGUCAUAGGCCAUUCCCAGACCUGUACAGAACAAAGUAGGAGGACAGCAGUGAUAAAACCGGCCUCAGGAGGUUGUCAGUCAGGCUAAAGGAGGAGCUCUGUACACCUAGCGCAACCUGUGCCAUUCAGUAAACACUCAGGAAUGGGCUGGGCAUUGUACCGUCAAAAAGAAGAAUAACCUAUGUCUAUGUCUAUAGAUAUCCAGGUAGAUAGAUAUGGACAACGUGUAUAUCUAUAAUAUAUAAGUGUAAAUAGAUACACAUUACAUGUAUAUAUACACAUACAUACAUAUACUUACAUGGUAGCAUGUGGCCGUAAUCCUAGCAUGUAGAAGGUGGAGACGGGAGGAUAAAUAGAUUACACAGUGAGACCAGAUUUCAAAAACACAAAACCCACAGGACUAGGGAGACGGCCUAAUGAGCAAAGUGCCUGCUAUGUAAGGAAGUGAGGCUCCCAGCACCAAGGAGAUGCUGAGUAGCGCGUCUGCCUGUAAUCCUAACAUCCAGGAGACAGAGUAGGUAUCCCCAAGGCCAUCUGGCCAGCUAGAGUAGCAUAAACAGUGAGCUAUGGGUUCAUUGAGAGACUCUAGCUCAGUACCUGAGGUGGAGAGCAAUUGAAGAAGACACCAGGCAUUGACUUCUGGCAUGUGCAAACCUGUGUUCAUACAUGUGGUAACAUGAAUUCAUACUUGCACACACAUACAAAUGUAAGUGUGUGUGUGUGUGUGUGUGUGUGUGUGUAUUGGUUUGAAUGAGAAUGAUCCCAAUAGGCUGAUGUUUGAAUGCUUGGUCCCCAGAUAGUGGAACUGUUGGGGAAGGAUUAGGAGGUGUGGCCUUGCUAGAGUGGGUGUGGCCUUGUUGGAGAAGGUGUGGCCUUGCUAGAGUGGGUGUGGCCUUGUUGGAGAAGGUGUGUUACUGGUGGUGGGCUUUAAGGUUUUAAAUGUGUAUACCAAGCCCAGAAUAUCUCUCUCUCUCUCUCUCUCUCUCUCUCUCUCUCUCUCUCUCUCUCUCUCCCUUCUACCUGAGAAGCAGGAUGUAAAACUCUCAGCUCCAGCUCCAUGUCCAUCUGCUUCCUGCAGUGACAAUCAUAGACUAGUCCUCUAAAACCGUAAUCAAGACCCCAAUUCUUUUAAAAGAGUUGCCAUGGUUAAUCGUGGAGUCACCUCACAACAAUAGAACAGCGACUGAGACCAGCACACAUGCACCCAGCCAGCUUGAACAAAUCAGUGAUCUCUAGGUUCAGUGAGAAUCUGUCUUGAAAAAUAAGGCAGAGAGUAGUCAAGAAAGGCAGCCUUCGUCAACCUCUGACCUCCACAGGCACCCAUGCACAGUGUGUGUGUUUCCUCCCUCCGUCAUACAGCGCACACACAGAAAAACAGACAAGGGGUGGUGAUGCAGUCUGGCCGCAGAGCAGCUGCCCAGCGUGCCCAAGGUUCCUAUCUCUGCUCCAUUGUACUACACGGAAGAGAUGGAGAAAAGAAAGCCCUGGGAAGGAGAAGGGGGAGUGGAGGGAUGCUUGUGAAUGCCAGCUGUGAAGGCCGUCACCACAUGAAGUUCCAUUCUGUUCUCCAGAAAGACAAUUCAGGAAAACAUGGAUGUUGGAGCACAGGCAGACCCAGCAGACAGUCCUGACUCCCGAUGUGGAUUAGCCUUUGGGAAAACUGAAGAUUUGGCUUCUCUCUUUCCCCGGAGUAGUGAGGGAGGAGGAGCUGUCUCAUUUAUCCAGUCAUCCAGGGAUAGUGUACUGGGUGCCUGCCGAGUCUCAGCCCCAUGUAAGCUGGGCGCGCAUGCCUGUAAUCCCAAGGCUUGGGAGGUUUCUGAAGGCAGAGGACCAGAAAUUUGAGGUCAUCCUUGUCUCCAUUAUAAGUUCAGAGCCAUCUUGGACUACAGGCAGGAGACCUUGCCUCAAACAAAUAAACAAACAAACAAGAACUGUUUUGUUAGAAAAUGGUUAGGCUUAUCUGGAAGGCCUAGAUCUAGUGCUGCCAUGGCAUUUUACACAGCCUCGGGACUUGCAAAGCAGGGGCUCACAUCUCAAAGCCCAAACCCAGGAGAUGGCAGAUGGGGUCACCGACCCAGCCUUGCACGGUGCUUCCAAGAGAAAGAACUCCCAGUGCUGAAAGUCGAAGCCGAGAAGAGACCGAUACAUGUGUGACUCAGGCGUGACUGGGAGAGCCUCUUCACACACGCAUGCACGCACGCAUACGCGUGCUCGUCUGAAUCCCACCACUCUCCUUCCACUCACAGACUCCUGGAUGGGGGCGGGGGAUGCUGUGCUGGGGGUUGGGAGGUUGCUGUGCGGUGGACCGCACUGGGCCUUCUGGUAGUCUUGGAUGAAGACAUCCACCUUUGGCCACACUGCACUAGCCCCUAGGCCCUAGAAUUUCAAAGGUGUUCGGCCUAGUGUCUCAUCUAUUUGUCUUAGCAUAAUAGCUGUCAUGCCGGGUCAGUAAGUUUACGUUUGUUGUUUCUAAGCUUCAGAACAGGCUGAUGAAGAAAUUAAAAUUCCUCUAGGGAAAUUGGGCCAGCGUAGUGAGGAGAGACGUAGGUUUACCUGACCCCAGACCCACCCUCUCUGGCAGUUGCCCGAGUUGCUUUGCUCCCGACAAACUAUUUAUUGGACCCUCUGAGGGACCAUCUGUUGCUUGUCCUUGACAUUAUAUUGCAAACCGCUUUGGCAAAAGUUGGGUUCAUGGCUGGAUUUCUUUCAGAUCAAUGUCUCUUGAAGGAGCUGGGAUGGCCUCCCAGAAAGAGUACUGGACUGAGGCCCCAGGUCCUAUGCCCUCUGCCCCCUCGGAGCUUCUGUGGAACUUUCCAGAAGGUCCUUGCAUGUGAACACGCAGUUCUCCCUUCCUUUUGAAGGAAUAGUGAGGCCUGCUUCCUACAGCCGCCUCUCCCAGAGCAGCAUGCAGUAGGCUCAAGGGAACUGGUUGAUAAAUAUUAAGCCUUUAGAAGCUAGAGUGGUGGCUCUCUGCACAGACCUGGGAUCAGAGCUCGGAUCCCACAUAAAAAGUCAGGCGUGGUGACCCGUGACUGUGAUCCCAGUCCUGAGGGACCAAGCAGAGUCUUUGAGCAUACCAGCCAGGCCAGUCAAAUCUGCGAGCUCCAGGUUCAGAAAGGGACACCUUAAGGCGGGGAGCAGUUGCUGACUAGACCUCUGACUUCCGCACAGGCGUGCAUAUGCGCAGACUUUUGCAAACACCCGUAUAACCUCCCUGCAAAGAGACCCCAGACAUCUUCGACCGUAGACCAAGGGUUCUGUGUGAUUCUUUCGCUCUGACUCACAUUCAUUUGCAUUUAAUUUAUUAUUGAGUCCAACUGGGUACGGGGCUCGGGUGCUAGAGAUUCAGGAAUAAACAAGGCAUCUGAGUUUCCCAGUGUCACGGAGCUUCUGAGCGGUGGGAAACACAGGAGGAGCACACUCAGCCAAGCCAGACGCUGGGUCUGGGUCUGUGGAAGGAGGGUCAUUAGAACCAGAGGCCAUGGAGAGCUUUCUGAGGAGUGAGCUUCCGGAUGGCCGUGGAUUGACGGAUGAGCUAGCGGGUCCUGAGGCCUAGGCCAGCGUGGCCUAUUUAGAACUCACGGAUGCUAAUAUGGCUGCAUCUCAGUGGGCGGUAAGGGAUGGGGAGCAUGGACCAGGAGAUGUUAGGCAGGGUGCAUCAUAUAGGGUCUUCCUUGCGGGUCACAAUAAAGAGAUGAGAAUUGAUUCUGACCCAGGUAGGAAGCCAUCAGAUAGGUUUAAAAGGCAGACCGAUAGGCUAAGGAUGCUGUCCAGUUAGUAAACACUUGCCUAGCAUGUCUGAAGGCCACGGGUCAAUCUCAGUGUGGCAUGAGACUGGCAUGGCCGUACAGGUUCAUAAGCCAGCACUUGGGGAGUAAGGGAGGAACGAGUCUGAGGUCAUUCUCUUGGCCGUAUAGAGAGUUUGAGGCCAGCUUGGGCCACACGAAGACAAACCCAAGCUACCCAACCAAGCAAGCCAAAGAGAGAAGAUGGAAGCCCAAGAGUCGCUUGGGAUAUAGACAAUAGACAGGAUAGUGUGGAAGCAGAGAGCAGUUAGGAGGCCGCUGGGUGACCAGUGGUGACUUGGACAAGUGUGAGGGAGGAACUUGAGAGAGGCAGGCUGAGCCGGUCAGAUACAGCAGUGAAGGCAGAGGCACUAGGGAAGGGACCAGAUCCCCAAGACUCAGGGGAUGGAUACUCCUUCUGAACAGAGAAAACAAAACAAGUGCAGAAUGAGGGGUGGCGGGAAACCAGGAGUUCCAGUGUGUGCCUGCCGUCAGUGGCAGGCUGAGUAAUGGCCCAGUGGUGGCUCUCAAGAACUCGUGACCUUACUUAGAGAAAGGGACUUCGCAGAUGUGAUUAAGUCGCAAAUUGGGAGAACAGGAAGUUAUCUUGGAUUAUCUCGGUGAGUCACUGCAAACACAAGGGACUCUAAAAACCUAAGAGGGAGGGACAGAGUCAGAGAGAUCCCACGAGGGAAGGAUCGCCCUUGGCUCCACUGUGAGUUUACUUAAGAUAGAGAGGGAGGAAAGCCAGGUGUGGUGGAGCGUGUACUCUCAGCACCCAGGCCAUUUUGGGGGGGAGGAUCCACAGUUUGAGCUUGGUGGCCCGUGUUUGAAAGCAAGGAUGGAGGAAAGGAACCUUAAGGCUGGGACAUAUAGGAGCUGGCAAGAACACUUUCCUUCCUGGAACCUGAAGAAGGAUAUUCCUUCUGGCCCCUUGCUUUUGAGCCCAAUAAAACCCAUCUGGAUUUAUGACCUCCCGGACUGUAAGAUAAUGUGUUUGUGUUGUUUUAGGCCAUUAAGUUCAUAGCCUUAUUACAACAGCAGUAGGAAACUGUAUCUAUGUGAGCCCAGGGGACAGGGUGAGGGUGAACUCUAGAAUCACCAGCACACGAUGGGAGUUUUCUUGACAGGGGUUGCCAGUCAAGGAAAGCCUAAGGUUUCUAAAGGGAGAACCCUCAGCUUAGGGGACUAGAGUGGGGGCUGAGUUGAUUGGCCCUUUUCAGGGUCUGGUACCAGGGCAAAAAGUACGAGAGAAAUGUCUAGUUAGUGUCGUUCUUUGUGCUAGGAGACCCCAUGUAAUCUUAGUUGUCCCACUGGGGAAGGUGAAAUACCAGAGAGGGGGAAAUGUUUAUUUAGUAUCUGCUAAGGGCCAAGUUUCUGACCUGGCAUGUCUGGACUCGAUAAGAAUGUGCACUUUUUACAAGUGUUUUAGAGUGACUUGCAGGAGGUCUAUGGACCAUGCGUUGAGAAACAGUGGCCACCAGGGAGACCUGCGGAUCAGCAAACUGGAUUAUCACAGUGCCUGUGAAAUCAGAAGUUGUUAUUGGAGGAGUCUCAGUUACUUUCCUAUCGCUGUGACAAAACACCAUGCCCAACCUAUACAAGUAAGCAUUUAAUUCGGGGCUCAUGGUUCCAGAGGGUAGAAGAGUCCUUGACUAUCAUGGUAAGGGGGCAUGACAGCAGACAGACAGACAGUCAGGCAGGCAGGCAGGCAGGCAGGGUGCUGAAGCAGUAGCUGAGAGCUUACAUUUUGAGAUAACAGCCAUUAGGCAGAGGGGGGGAAGAGAGAGAGAGAGAGAGAGAGAGAGAGAGAGAGAGAGAGAGAGAGAGAGAGAGGAGAGAGAGCGAGCGCUAACUGGAAAUGGCAUAAACUUUUGAAACCUACAAGUCCGCUCCCUAUGACACACCUCUUCUAACAAGGCCACACCUCCUAAUCCUUCCCAAACAGUUCUACCAGCCAGGGACCAAGCCUUCAAAUGGAUGAGUCUAUGGGAAGCAGUCUCAUUCUAACCUCAGGAAGUUAGAAACUGAAACAUUAAGCAGCUCUAAAGUGUUGUGGAGAAGACGUAGCAUGGUCCAGGAUGGCGUCCUACAGGCCAUGUCUCCACCAGGUCACACCAAAUAUUCUCCAAUGACAGAUGUCAUGCACCCUCUCUUCAUCUUUAGGCCUGAGAUGAACCUGCAGGAGGCUCCCUGUAAUAAAUACAAUGAGAGACAGGGGAAUUUUGUCCCAACUCUAUAGAAAAGAUCUAAAUGGUGCAGGUAAACCCAGAGGACUGGGGUAGUAUGGGGGUCUAGAAAGUGGCUCUCAAAGGACUUCAGAGCCAGGAGCCUGCAGGAUUCAGAUGCAAACAAGGCCAGGGGAGAUGGGAGUCCGGGUGGGGUGGGAGUUCUACAGUCUGGACAGAUUUCCCCUCUCCUGCCUUAGAGUGCAAGGCCUGCCCCUUACGGGUCGUUUUGCUAUUUACCCAGUCUGGAAGAGUUUCGGCUUUGUGGUUACAGGAUCAUAGUUACUUGAAUUUGUGCUGUAUACCAAUAAAACUUUAUGUAGAACAAACAAACGAAGAGAAUAUUUAAUCACAUACCAUUGGCCAGUAAGAGAUAUAUGUAUUUGGGGAGGUUCGACAAUAAGACAAAAUACAGAAUUAAUAUUAGAGGUGAGGGAAAAAUAUCAGUGAGUAACAGGGCAGAGGGCAGGGAGUUCCUUUUUAGUAAGGACCACUGAGCCAAGAUUCCUUUCAUUUUUAUUUAUUUUUGUUCUUUUCAAGACAAGGUCUUUCGAUAUAAUACUGACUGUCUUGAAACUCACUAAGUCUACUCAUUGAGUAGACCAGGCUGGCCUCGAACUCACAGAGAUCCACCUGCUUCUGCUUCCCAAGUGCUGGGAUUGAAGGUGUGAGUUUCCACACCUGGCUCUAGAUAUUUUUUUCUUCUUAAAUAAUGUUUAUUUGAGUUUAUUUCACUGAUGACUUAUAUGGGUGUUCUUUCUUUUCUUUUGAGACAAUGUCUCACACAUCCCAGAUUUGCUUUGAACUCACUGUGGGGCUAAAGAUAACUCCAAUCUUCCAACCUUCCCUUUCACCCUGAGUACACAGGCCUUGCCCAGUAUGUUAUUAGCAUAUAUUACCCAUAUGAAAUCGAGGGCCUUGACACGCCUGUGUCCAUCUCACGUGUUUAAAACGUACUCUGAUGAAAUCACCCUUCCCAUUUCCAUCCCCUGGGUCCCUUCUCGUCCCCGUAUAACUCGUCUACUUUCUUGUCUUUCCACUUUCGUCUCUUCAUGCUAAACCUGAGUCUGAGGAUCCAGCGCUAGAGGAGCCGAAGCAGGAAGAUACUCCUACCCAAGAGGUAAUCGUGUCCCUGGGCAUCUGCCUGCAUCAUCUGAGGACUCACAGUUAUAAUUUCCGGGACUCUGUAAUCAUGAAAUAGUAUCUUGGCUGUGGCAGACAGCAGUGGAGAACCACAUGCCAAUAUAAGUCCAUCUCACUUGAGCCUUACAGGGUUUUUUCUUCUCUUUUGUUUUUUCUCUUCUUC